UAUGGUUGUGCCAGCAGCCGCGGUAAAACGUAGGUCACAAGCGUUGUCCGGAAUUACUGGGUGUAAAGGGAGCGCAGGCGGGAGAACAAGUUGGAAGUGAAAUCCAUGGGCUCAACCCAUGAACUGCUUUCAAAACUGUUUUUCUUGAGUAGUGCAGAGGUAGGCGGAAUUCCCGGUGUAGCGGUGGAAUGCGUAGAUAUCGGGAGGAACACCAGUGGCGAAGGCGGCCUACUGGGCACCAACUGACGCUGAGGCUCGAAAGUGUGGGUAGCAAACAGG
rnacentral:rRNA from 1 species